GGGGGAAGGUCUCAUGGAUCCCAUCCCUGGCUGAGGAACUGUUAUCAAUUGAUGCCUGCUGGGGAAUCAAGAAUCCAUUUAUUCAGGGAUGUUUUCCUAAAGAGGCCACUCAUGCUUCAAGAUAUGUUCCUAAAUCCAUGGACAUACAGGCAAUACUAAGAUAUCCUUAGCCUUUCAAAGUACAUGAAGGUACAAUGGUUAGGAACCUGGAGGGUUGAGGAUCUGGAGAGAGGCACAAGUCACGACUGGAAGCCGAAUUACCUGGGGGAAGACUGAAAGACAAAGCAUAUGUAGCUCUUGGAACAUGUGCUUUGGAUGGGAACGCUGUACCAUUGCCCUGCCAGUUACAGGAAGAACCAGAAACUCUGCCUUCAAGGAGCUGGGGCCACAUGAACCACAGCCUCUAGAUGGCUGCCUGACUAGAAUGUCAGGGACGGGACAUUGUGAGAAAAUGGAAGGAAGCUGACAAAAACCCUGAAGCAGAGGUAUAGUGGAAGAUUGUAACCUAGGCUUUGUUUGAAUGGCUAAAAACAAAUAAACUACAGCGAAAGAGACUGA